rnacentral:rRNA from 1 species
UACGGAGGGUGCAAGCGUUGUUCGGAAUUAUUGGGCGUAAAGCGCACGUAGGCGGGUUCGUAUGUCAAUUGUGAAAUCCCUAGGCUCAACCUAGGAAUUGCAGUUGAAACUGCGAAUCUUGAAUACCUGAGAGGGUGGGAGAAUUCCUGGUGGAGUAGUGAAAUACGUAGAGAUCAGGAGGAAUACCGGAGGCGAAGGCGCCUGCCUGGCAGUGUAUUGACGCUGAGGUGCGAAAGCGUGGGGAGCAAACAGG